AUUGAACGCUGGCGGCAGGCCUAACACAUGCAAGUCGAACGGUAACAGGAAGCAGCUUGCUGCUUCGCUGACGAGUGGCGGACGGGUGAGAAAUGUCUGGGAAGCUGCCUGAUGGAGGGGGAUAACUAGUGGAAACGGUAGCUAAUACCGCAUAAUGUCGCAAGACCAAAGAGGGGGAGUUUAGGGCGGCUUGCCAGCGGAUGAGCCCAGGUGGGAUUAGCUUGUUGGUGGGGUAACGGCUAACCAAGGCGACGAUCCCUAGCUGGUCUGAGAGGAUGACCAGCCACACUGGAACUGAGACACGGUCCAGACUCCUACGGGAGGCAGCAGUGGGGAAUAUUGCGCAAUGGGCGCAAGCCUGAUGGAGCCAUGCCGCGUGUGUGAUGAAGGCCUUCGGGUUGUAAAAUUCUUUCAGCGGGGAGGAAGGGAGUAGAGUGAAUACCUUCGCUCAUUGACGGUACCCGCAGAAGAAGCACCGGCUAACUCCGUG
rnacentral:rRNA from 1 species